AGAGUUUGAUCCUGGCUCAGAUUGAACGCUGGCGGCAUGCUUUACACAUGCAAGUCGAACGGUAACAGGGAGCUUGCUCCGCUGACGAGUGGCGAACGGGUGAGUAAUGCAUCGGAACGUGCCUAUUUGUGGGGGAUAACGUAGCGAAAGUUACGCUAAUACCGCAUACGCCCUGAGGGGGAAAGCGGGGGAUUCGUAAGAACCUCGCGCAAUUAGAGCGGCCGAUGUCGGAUUAGCUAGUUGGUGGGGUAAAGGCUCACCAAGGCGACGAUCCGUAGCGGGUCUGAGAGGAUGAUCCGCCACACUGGGACUGAGACACGGCCCAGACUCCUACGGGAGGCAGCAGUGGGGAAUUUUGGACAAUGGGCGAAAGCCUGAUCCAGCCAUGCCGCGUGAGUGAAGAAGGCCUUCGGU
rnacentral:rRNA from 1 species